rnacentral:lncRNA from 1 species
AAAACCUAUACAAAAAAAUAACAGAAUGGCAUUUUAGCUCAUUCAUUGAUUUUUAUAAAAUAUUUAACACACUCCCUGGUUUGUAGUUAGCGUUCAAUAAAUGCUAAAAAUUUAUCUUCACCAUCAUCAUUAAUUUAUUUAUUAAUCAUUAUUAAAUUAUUCAUUGAUCAUUUUUUGAGGAUUUACUAUUGCCAGACACUGUGCUACAAGCUGGGAAUGCUGACAGUAUAAGAUAAAGAGGGAAAUGAUGGGGGAUGGGUCAUGUAAAGGGAGAACUUUCAUUUUUACUUCAUAUAUAUCUAAGCAGUUAUAAUAGGUUGAUUUUUGUAAUUUAAAAAAUGUAAAAAUGCAUACAUGCACUAGUGCAUGAAUGGCAGCCAGGAUGAGUGGAAUUGGAGAAGCAUCACACACACAGUGACUUUUGUGUUUGAUCUUGAAGAAUGAGCGAACCAGGCAGGGAGUCGGGGAGGAGAAUCGCAUUCCUUGAGGAAAGAGCAGCAUGUGGGAAAACAUAAAUGCACGCAAUAACCUGGCUCACAUGUUAAGAGAACUUUCUGACUAUAAUGAGGGAUGUGUUGCUGCCCCAAGCUUCAUUAUCUAAGGAGUUUGUUGAACACUCUCUAGAGGGCUUUUUGGGGUGGUGAAAUAGACAUUUAUGGAAAAUGGGAUACCCACAUUAAGCAGGGUGACUACCUGUUUACCAUACAACCCACACAAAGCCAAUACAACUAUAGAUGUGCUUUCUUUAGUCUGUUGCCUCUGCAAACAUUGCCCGUGUGUUUCUCUAUGCCCUUCAAAAACAUCAGAGCAGCACAUCCUGGAAGAUCCUAUCUUUUGUAAGUUUAAGAAGCAGCCUCUUGUCACAGCUUGACUCCUAGGUAGUGUGCCUAGUGACCAAGAGGGCUGCUAAGAAAGCUUUCUGACCACUUGUGGCUGUCAUUGGACUGAUUUGCCCAGAUGACAUCAAUUGGGAAUUUGAGGCAUGACCUAUAAAGAUCAGUUGCUUGCAAGAGUCUCAGGAAAAUAAUUGUGGAGUUAAGAAACUUGAAGCGAUUUUUAAAAAUUACCUAACCCAACCUUCUCAUUUGAAAAAUUAAAAAAUAAAUAGGCCAGAUAUGGCGGCUCAUGCCUGUAAUCCCAGCGCUGUGGGAGCCUGAGGCGGGUGGGUCUCUUGAGGCCAGGAGUUCAAGACCAGCCUGGACAAUGUGGUGAAACCCUGUCUCUACUAAAAACACAAAAAUUAGCUGGGUGUGGUGGCAGGCGCCUGUAAUCCCAGCUACUCAGGAGGCUAAGGUGGGAGGAUUACUUGAACUGGGGAGGCAUAGGUUGUAGUGAGCCAAGGUCGUGUCACUGCACUCCAGCCUGGGUGACAGAGUAAGACUCUGCCUAAAAAAAAAAAAAGAAAGAUUAAAAAAUAAAUAAAUCUGCUGGGCGUGGUGGCUCACGCCUGUAAUCCCAGCACUUUGGGAGGCCGAGGCGGGUGGAUCACCUGAGGUCGGGAGUUUGAGACCAGCCUGAUCAACAUGGAGAAACCUCGUCUCUACUAAAAACACAAAAAAAUUAGCUGGGCGUGGUGGCGCAUGCCUCAUUCACGUACAUGGGAGAGUCUACAAAGUCACACGUAUUCAUAGGUUAAGCCACAUGCUGACAAAUGUCAUAAGAAGACCCUACACUUUUACCUUGGCCGAUCCCUCCCCUCAGUGCAAGCUCUGUGCAAGAGUGAACUUGAACUUCACUCAGUGCAAGAGUGAACACACACUUUGUGCCGGCUUUAAAGAACCCAGCACAAAGCCAGUCUGCAUGGCCUACAGACAUAUUUUGCUGGACAAUGAUUACUUGCUUUUCUUUUUGUUUUUCUUGUAUAUGCCUGUUUGAUUGGUUCCUGACAUACCAGAAAAUCACUGUCAAAACAUUAGCUUAACAAUAUAAUAAGUAAAGAAAAUUUAAAACCACAAAACAUUACUGUGUUUGUAGGGGGAGGUCUGAUUUACAGAGUAACCACAUAGUAAUUAUAAUUAUUAGAAUGUCCAGUUUUCAAAAAACGUUACAAGGCAUACAAAGAAUGGGAAAGUGUGGCUCAUUCAAAGGAACAAAAUAAAGUGACAGAAAAUAUCCCUAAGGAAACCCAGACAUCAAACUUACCAGACAAAGACUUUAAAACAACUCUCUUCAUUAUACUCAAAUGUCAAAAGGAAAACAUAAACAAAGAAAUAAAGGAAUCAGAAAAAAUAUUAAAAAGUAGGAAUAUCAGCAAAGAGAUAACAAAUUCUGGAGUGGAAAACUACAAUGAUAAAAAUUUAAAAAUCACCAGAGGGAUUUAAGAGUAUAUUUGCACACACAGAGGAAGCCAUGAACUUGAAGAGAAGAAAAUGGAAAAUACUGUCUCUGAGAAACAGAAAGAAUAAAAAAUAAACAAUGAGCAGAGACUAAUGAAUUUGUGGGACAUCAUCAAAUAGACCAACAUUCAUAUUCUAGAAGGAUAAAUUAUGUUGUUAAAAAGUUUACCAUUCUUUCUUUUCACCUUUCUUCCUUCUUCCUUCCCCCUCCUCCUUUUUACUUUUCUUCCUCUUCCUUUCUCUUCUUCUUUCUCGCCUUCAUUAUCCCUUUCGCUGUUUCUCUUUCUCCCUUUCUCUUUUUUCUUUUCUUUCAAUUUUCUCAAUUACUAAGAGAUGUUUAAGUACCCUUAGCAUGUUAGUAGAUAUGGUUAUUUCUCCCUUUAGUUCUCUUUUGAGAUUUAUAGUCACUCAAAUAAAGAGAUAACCCAAACAUAAGCGUCACAAACAGGCUUUCAUACCAUUCUUAAUUUGGUCCUGUAAUUCUUCAUUGCUGUAUUAAUUUUCUGAUGCUUUUAAGGAUGUUUUAUAACAAAUUGUGUAGCUUUUUCCAAUGGAAUGUUUAUUCUGAAUUAUCUAAUUCAUAUUGUAAGUAUAGAGGGAGUUUAAUAUAAAAUUAUUAAACUAAUAUUUGUGAAAGAAUGUAUUUGAGCAUUUAACAAAUAUGUUAAUCCUCAGACUGUUAUUGGGCAGCUGAGCAUACAGGAAUAAAAAUAACACAAUUUUUAUGUGUACAAUAUUUAUGGAAUACGUUACUGGACCCAAUAAAUAAUUUAGUUAAUAACAUGACAAAGAA